GAUGAACGCUGGCGGCGUGCCUAAUACAUGCAAGUCGAGCGAACAGAUGAGGAGCUUGCUCCUCUGACGUUAGCGGCGGACGGGUGAGUAACACGUGGAUAACCUACCUAUAAGACUGGGAUAACUUCGGGAAACCGGAGCUAAUACCGGAUAAUAUAUUGAACCGCAUGGUUCAAUAGUGAAAGUCGGUUUUGCUGUCACUUAUAGAUGGAUCCGCGCCGCAUUAGUUAGUUGGUAAGGUAACGGCUUACCAAGGCAACGAUGCGUAGCCGACCUGAGAGGGUGAUCGGCCACACUGGAACUGAGACACGGUACAGACUCCUACGGGAGGCAGCAGUAGGGAAUCUUCCGCAAUGGGCGAAAGCCUGACGGAGCAACGCCGCGUGAGUGAUGAAGGUCUUCGGAUCGUAAAACUCUGUUAUUAGGGAAGAACAAAUGUGUAAGUAACUAUGCACGUCUUGACGGUACCUAAUCAGAAAGCCACGGCUAACUACGUG
rnacentral:rRNA from 1 species